UACGGAGGAUGCAAGCGUUAUCCGGAAUGAUUGGGCGUAAAGCGUACGCAGGUGGCUGUGUAAGUCUGCUGUCAAAGAGCGAAGCUCAACUUCGUAAAGGCAGUGGAAACUACACGGCUAGAGUGCGUUCGGGGCAGAGGGAAUUCCUGGUGUAGCGGUGAAAUGCGUAGAGAUCAGGAAGAACACCGGUGGCGAAGGCGCUCUGCUAGGCCGCAACUGACACUGAGGGACGAAAGCUAGGGGAGCGAAUGGG
rnacentral:rRNA from 1 species